rnacentral:rRNA from 1 species
CCUACGGGAGGCAGCAGUGAGGAAUAUUGGUCAAUGGGCGAGAGCCUGAACCAGCCAAGUCGCGUGAAGGAUGACGGCCCUACGGGUUGUAAACUUCUUUUGUCAGGGAGCAAUUGGGUCCACGCGUGGGCUUAGCGAGAGUACCUGAAGAAAAAGCAUCUGCUAACUCCGUGCCAGCAGCCGCGGUAAUACGGAGUAUGCGAGCGUUAUCCGGAUUUGUUGGGGUUAAAGGGUGCGUAGGCGGAAUAUCAAGUCAGCGGUAAAAAUUCGGGGCUAAACCCCGUCGUGCCGUUGAAACUGAUGUUAUUGAGUGGGCGAGAGGUAUGCGGAAUGCGUGGUGUAGCGGUGAAAUGCAUAGAUAUCACGAAGAACUCCGAUUGCGAAGGCAGCAUACCGGCGCCCAACUGACGCUGAAGCACGAAAGCGUGGGUAUCGAACAGGAUUAGAUACCCUUGUAGUC